AAGGAAGGGCAACGGCAGGUCAGUAUGCAGAGAAACUCUGGGGCCACACGCGGGCUGCAAUGGUAACGACAAUUGGUUUCGAAUCCGAAAGGAUGAGGUAAUCCUCAAACGUUACCACAGUUAUGACUGAGGGCUGCAACUCGCCCUCACGAAUAUGGAAUCCCUAGUAACUGCGUGUCAUUAUCGCGCGGUGAAUACGUCCCUGCUCCUU
rnacentral:rRNA from 1 species